UAUAAUAUUAUUAAAAAUAUUUUUUUUGACUAGGCUCGCGAGCCUUUGAACCUAGUAUUGUGCUACUUGGGCUCGACUCAAAAACUAUUCGAGCUACUCCGGCUCGACUCAAGCUCAAUAACAGUCGAGUCGUGUUGAGCUUGGAUCCAAGUCGAGCUUAAGCAACUCGCAAACUGCUCAGCUCAUUUGCAUUCAUAGUUGGUAUAAAAGAUGUUGAUUGUUGUAGUAUUUGUAAGAAAUAUGAUAGGAGUAUCAAAAAAAAAAAACUAAAGUUUCUGUGAUCCAUUGCUGUCUGAUGAGAGAUGUUUCUCUUCUAAGUAGGAAUUGCACAUUUCAGACUCCAAAGUGUCAAAGAACUUCAAGUUGACACAGCCGGAUGCUGUGUGAGAUUGACUUACCCAACAAAAGUACACUCUUGGUCUAGGAACAUGGGUGUUGGCAACGGUAACUUGACAAGGGAAUUUAUGCAACUAAUGUUUGGUCAUAGAGCUAUUUGAUCCAUGACAAUGGAAUAGGAAAUAUAUGGAGAAAAUUGAGUUAUGUUUCUCGGAUCUUAGCAACAUGGCUUUUCAUUUUCCCUCUCUUUCUAGUUUUUAAGAAAUCGGUUUCGAACCCUUAAGUAGAGUUUCUAAAUAUAUUUCAUUCUAUUUCUGUUUUUAAUAACUCAGUGAUGGAGGGCCGUCCAACAAGACAUCUAGGCACAUUUCUGCUAGGCACAAAUAUAAAAAUUAGAAAAUUUUAUUUUAUUUAAAAAUUAAAAAAUUUUAUUUUUAUGUGGACUCUAGGACUAGAAUGUUGUUGACUCUAGAAUUAGAUUUUUAUGAGCACUCCAAUAUUUUAUUUUUAUGCGUAAUUUUAUUAGAGUUUUGAAUUUUGUUUAUAUUAAGACAUUGCUAUAUUAAUUGAGAAUACAUUUAGCAUUAUUGAGAUUUGAGAAUAUAUAAUAUUGAGUUGCCCUCUCCCUCUAACUUCUCCUCCUCUUCUCUUCCCUCCUCUUCUUCUUCUUCCUCUUCCUCUCUCCUCUCCAUUUUGUCCUGUGUCACUCAACUAAGGAAGGAAAAAUCAUAUAAGCAUAUUCCAUUCUACUCAUUUUUUGGUAACCCAUCUAAGCAAGAAAAGAAAAAUAUAUAAGCACGUUUCACUUUAUUACACUUAAAUAACCCUUAUAAGCAAGAACUAAAUUUGAUAAUCAAAGCAUUCAAUAAACAUUAUUAAAUAAUAUUUUUUAAUUCUAUAAAAUAUUAACAAUUAUUGACUUGUUAAACAAAAAAAUAGUAAAUUUCGCAUUAUGCAGUUGUUUCAUGAUUGAUUCAAAAGCUAAUUAAAAGGUCAAGUGGUGGCUAACAAGGUAUAUUAAUUAGUUGACGCAAUCAAGAAGUUCUUUGUUUAUGUAACAAAGCUUAGUAAAUGCUGUCUGGAAAAUAAAUUUGCAUCCAGGUAUUUUGCAGAUGAGCAUGCAUUUAAUUCCACAUACUUAGUGGCGAGUUCUGUGGCUGAUAUGUUAGCAUUCUUUGGUAAUAUUUCCCUUUCUGCCUUCAUAGAAAUGCCUCAUUCCCGACCAUUAAGUAAUUUGAUACAGUUUUUCUCUACUAAUUUAUUCUUAUUUUCCAGUUACAAAACUACAAGGGUAAUUCAACAUAAAACUAUUUGUUAUCACUAAUAGUAUGUUGUCCACUAUGGUGGAGGGUAAUUACUCUAGGAAUAAUCAGUUUUGGGGGGAAAGGGAAGAGUGUUUCUGAUAACAAUGCUUUGAUCUAAAGCAGAACAGAAAUGGUUUCUCUAUUACUUUAUAUAGUAUUUUGAAGCCGAAAUACUGGCACAAUAUGUCCAUGAAAACUUCCUUAAAGGCUAGCAAAUCACAAGAAUCUGAAAUUUGCAGAUUUAAAUUUACAUGUAUACUAGUAAGAAGUUAUUGAUAUGGAUAUAAACAACAAGCUGAAGAAAUCUAGGUUUACAAAUAAAAAGAGGAAAAAUAAAGAAAAGAAGAAAGAGUUAAUUUUGAUUUCUGAUGCAAGAAUGGUCCUUUGAAUCCACAGCUUCCUGCUUCCAAGGCUAACACAUGACCUGCACAUAAGAAUCAGACAAAAUCACUAUGAAAGAAAUUUAAUGGCAAUCUAUGAGACAAAAUAAAUGUUAAAUAUAUUUUUUUCUGAAUUUUCUGUAUAUUUUGGGAUUUCUUUCCCAUUUUAUUUCAUAUUCUAUCUUGUUUUGUACCCAAGGCAUAUAAGAGAUCAUAUGGGAGAGGUGGAUGCUUCAAUACUCAAAAGCUGUCUCCCCUUGGUUCCAUGUUGGCCAGCGGACAAAGGAGAGGCUGCCUUAUAGUUUAGUUUCUCUUUUGGCUCAGACCGUGAUCACACUUGUGGGUUCACUACUCUGCACUCAUAACGCCUAAUGAAUGUUAGGUUGUGCCAUAUAGAAGCACAGUUGCAUCAGGACCUGUGAAGUUGAGAUGACAUAAUUGAAAGUGACCAGUUGUAGGGAGAGGGCAUGUUAUUCCAAAGUCUGCUAUGGACCCAAAAGACAUGAUUUAUUCUGCUGGAAGGAUCGGAAAGGGUUGCAUCACAGCUGUAGAACAGUAGAAGUACUGUUGAAAUGCAGCUAUGGUAGCCUGCCAGAUGGGCUGGUUGGUACAGGGUCUCGUUUUAGCAAGUUUAAAUCAUUUGGUAAUCUAUAAUCUUGGUGCAAAUUAGAAACAAGUUUAGUACUUCAUGGACAGUGACAUGGUAUUUUGGGUCUGACAGCAUAUAUCUACUGGGAUAUUCACAACUGUACAUGUACAUCUAUGAUGCCCUGUUCAGCUAGUGGAUGCAAACUUCAUGCUUUCUUAGCUUGUGGCAAUCGUGGAUCCACUCCCUUCCGAGGUUGAUGGAUUUGCUGAGCUAUCAAUGCUGUACAAUCAGAGGGCUGUUUUUGUUUCUGUUUUUCUUUCUUCCUUCUUCUUCUUGUGUGUGUAUGGGUCUUUUUUUUCUCUCUGUUGUAUAUGCUUUCAUUCUCCUUAUUAACUCUGAAUAUUUAUGUUUGUUACAAUCAGUCAAAUGAUAUGAUAUGAAUUUUUCGGAUUGUUGGA